UGCGGGAGUGGUUAUAUGAUCAGGCCUGGCCUAUCGCUGGAUACAGAAAUUGGUUCCAGAGUGGACAUUUGAUCCAAUCAGAGUGAAAUAGGAAGUGGGCAGAAGUUAUCAGAAGUCCAGAAGACAGGCUUUCUUUCUGCUGGCCUUGAACCGGAAGUAAUAAGCCUGGAGCUGCCAGGAGCCGGUGUGUAGGGAGGGCAGUGCCAGAGCGAAGCAAACCAGAGACAGGCCAGCCUGCAAACUGAAGAGAGGCCAGGUCCUGGGGACAUGGAGGAGCCACGAGGCUUUGGCCUGCUUGCCUCCUAAAGAGCAAGAUGUCAGAAGGAAGGCAGCACCGAAGAUGUGCAAAUGAAGGGCGGAGAAAGAGAAAACUCCUGGCCAGGGGAUGGAGAUCUGCGUUGUACCAUGGAUCCAGUUAUACCUGAGACAAGUUACCACUGGGCUUUGCAGUAGAGGCCUCCAGAGUCCACCUGACAUCGACCACCUUGAUCCACCAGGGGUGGUGGAACCCAGCAGCGACAUUGACACGAAGCCACCGGGAAAAGGCCUGGCGGGAGCUGGCUACAAUGUUGAUGAAUUGUGGCAAGAAUUGAAUCCAUUCUCUUUAUAUAGCAGACCUCAGAAGCCACAAACCCAGGCAUUAAAGCCCGGGGUUGUGCCACUGGACUCUAAGGUUCAAAUCCCAGCUCUACCAGUUACCAGCUGUGAACAGGGCCCUGGGAAGGCUCCUAUAUCUGUCUCUGGCUCUGCUUCCCAUAAAAUGUUGGGAGAUUUUCAGCACUAAAUGCAUAUAACUUAGCAAGGACAGAGUGAUUUCUGAUUUUAUUAUAACAAAUAUAAAUUUAUGACUUGGUAUUUAUUGGUACCAAGCACACAUACAUUAAUUUAUUAUGUGUAUUACACCCCCGAUUUUCACAAGCAACUCUGUAUAGAGAGAAGAACUCUCGGUCACAUCCUACAGAUGAGGAAACUGAGGCCCAGGGAGGCUAAGUCCAGGUUAAGGUUAAGCUCAAGUUCCCAUGGAGUCAGGACUGGGAAUCUCAGCCGGAUGUGACUGGCUCCAAACGUCAUUCUCUUUGUGCUGCACUGGCCAGAUUGGCUUCUCUCAGCUCCCCAGCCAGUGUGGACCGGAAGCGAGUUCAGCUGGGCACGGCUGAGGAGGGUGGGUUGGGCUGGAAUCCCGCCCGCCCAUCCACCCCAGCCACGAGGACUCCAUCGGGCAACUGGGGUGGGUUAGCCUGGUCUUAUACUCAGCAUGCCAGGGCUGUAGAAGUUCACGUGCCCACAACCAUGUGACCUUCCCAGGCAAGCGGGAUCCAGUUACAUCGCAGCAGUGGCCCCAAGGAACAAACACAGCUUGUGUCUUCCUCCAAGGGCUUAUUUCCUUUGUCUUGUGAGCAUUGAAAAAUGAAAGGAAUGAUAAGGAUUUGAUGGGGGGGUGCCCUGGAAAAUUCUGCAGAACUUGGGUAACUCAUCCAGAGGAAAGCAAGGGGGAGUUUUCCAACCAAAUCCAAAGGCAGAGAAACCCAACACGAAGGCCUGAGCCCUGUGAGGUCUCCUGGAUUCCUAGGUUCUCUUUAGAAGGCACAGAGGCCCCAGGCCUGGGGCGGAAGUCCCAUAACCCAGUACUGCCACCAGGCUCCUGUGGACAGACCACGAAAUCUCUCCAGGGCUCAGCUUCCUUGGCUACUCUGCAUCAGUAAUGCCAACUCCCAGGCUCUGGGUUGUUACAAAGAAAUGAGAAACUGUGUGUAGACAGUGGUUCUGCUGGGGGGAUUAACACCCUUGGGGACAUAUGGCAACGUCUGGAAACUUUUUUAGUUGUCACACUGGGAAAAGCAACUGGUGAGUGAAGACCGAGGACACUGCCACACACCACACAGUGCCCAGGACACCCUGCCAAAGAAUGGCCCUCUCCAAAGACCCAGGGUGCUGUGGCUGAGCAAGUGCUGGUGUAGAGUCUCAAAUGUUUAGUUCACAUGCUGAUGUUGGUUUUACUGUUCCAUUGGCGCGCAUGUGGGAAGGGGGACAGGAGAACAGGGUGGCCCAGGAAGAAGGCAGAGCUUGCAUGCCAGCUGCCCCUGGAGACAGAUCUGCUGUCCUCCUUCAGACAAUGUUCACAACCCCUGCCCUCAGGAAGUGUUUGGUCCAGAAGGAGAGACAGCCAGCAGACGAAGCAAGCACUUAAAGAAUACUGGUUCCAAAUAUCCACCAAAAGUGAUGAACGGAGGAUGGUGAUUCAAAAGGAGUGAGGUUUGGACACAGAGGAGUCUUGACAUUAUGCUGAGUGGGAGAAGCCAUCGCUGUGUGACUGCAUUGUUACCAAAAGAGCAGGCAGAUCCUCAGACUGAAAGUAGCUGGUGGUUCCCUGAGCUGAAAGAGUUGAGGAAAAAGGCAGAGAGACCGCUAGUGGCUAUAGAAUUUCCUUCUGGGCCAAUGAGAAUGGUAGUGCUGGCUGCCCAGCUCAAUAAUAUACUGCAUGCCAUGGGACUGCACGCUUUAAUGUGUGAACUGGGAGCUACAUGAAUGAAAGCUUAAUAAAGCCAUUAUAAAUAACAAUAAUACUGAUGAAUGGCUAUACUGAUGAAUGAAAUAAGCAACCAGCAGGGCCAUUGUGCUCAGGGGGGAUACAGAUGGCAGGUGACAUCUAAGGAAGAGACAGAGACUAAGUUCUGGUGCAGGGGACAACAUGAUGUGCAGAGUCCCCAGGGCAUGAGCCCGAUGUGUGGUCCUACAAGGGAUCAGCUGCAUGCACCGUGGAGUGGGAGCUGCAGAGAAAGGUGCAGAGGGCUGACUGGGCAGUGACCUUAGGGACC
rnacentral:lncRNA from 1 species